GAUGAACGCUGGCGGCGUGCCUAAUACAUGCAAGUCGAGCGAACAGACGAGGAGCUUGCUCCUCUGACGUUAGCGGCGGACGGGUGAGUAACACGUGGAUAACCUACCUAUAAGACUGGGAUAACUUCGGGAAACCGGAGCUAAUACCGGAUAAUAUAUUGAACCGCAUGGUUCAAUAGUGAAAGACGGUUUUGCUGUCACUUAUAGAUGGAUCCGCGCCGCAUUAGCUAGUUGGUAAGGUAACGGCUUACCAAGGCAACGAUGCGUAGCCGACCUGAGAGGGUGAUCGGCCACACUGGAACUGAGACACGGUCCAGACUCCUACGGGGGGCAGCAGUAGGGAAGAUUCCGCAAUGGGCGAAAGCCUGACGGAGCAACGCCGCGUGAGUGAUGAAGGUCUUCGGAUCGUAAAACUCUGUUAUUAGGGAAGAACAAAUGUGUAAGUAACUAUGCACGUCUUGACGGUACCUAAUCAGAAAGCCACGGCUAACUACGUG
rnacentral:rRNA from 1 species